rnacentral:rRNA from 1 species
CCUACGGGUGGCUGCAGUGGGGAAUAUUGCGCAAUGGGCGAAAGCCUGACGCAGCGACGCCGCGUGAGGGAUGAAGGCCCUCGGAUUGUAAACCCCCGUCAGCCGGGAAGAACGGGCAGUGUGCUAUUCAGCAGCGAAUUGACGGUACCUGCAAAGGAAGCACCGGCUAACUCCGUGCCAGCAGCCGCGGUAAUACGGUGGGUGCGAGCGGUAAUCGGAAUUACUGGGCGUAAAGCGCGCGCAGGCGGUCUGUCAAGUCAAGGGUGAAAUCCCCGCGCUCAACCUGGGAACUGCCUUUGAAACUGGCAGACUUGAGUGUGUGAGAGGAUGGUGGAAUUCCAGGUGUAGCAGUGAAAUGCGUAGAUAUCUGGAGGAACAUCGGUGGCGAAGGCGGCUAUCUGGCACAUAACUGACGCUGAGGAGCGAAAGCGUGGGUAGCAAACAGGAUUAGAUACCCUUGUAGUC